rnacentral:rRNA from 1 species
UUCUACUGCCAUACAACGCUGAACGUGCCUGAUCUUGGAAGCUAAGCAGCGGUGGGACGGCUUGGUACUUGGAAGGGAGAAGGAUGUUUGAUUUGGCAA